rnacentral:rRNA from 1 species
UACGUAGGUGACCAGCGUUGUCCGGAUUUACUGGGCGUAAAGAGCGCGCAGGCGGUCGUUCAAGUCGAGUGUGAAAGCCCCCGGCUCAACUGGGGAGGGUCAUUCGAUACUGAUCGACUUGAAGGCAGGAGAGGGAAGUGGAAUUCCCGGUGUAGUGGUGAAAUGCGUAGAUAUCGGGAGGAACACCAGAGGCGAAGGCGGCGACCUGGACAGGUACUGACACUCAACUACGAAAGCGUGGGGAGCAAACAGG